UAAAUAGUAAAAUUGUGCAAAAAUAAAAAUAAAAAUGUAAGACUCCUAUACAAAUCUUGUUCUCUUCUCUGCUCUGCACGAACGCAGUUAAGAUGAGCUGUUAUUUAAUCACGAUCUUUGUCAACAGAGUUAAUAUUUUCGUAAAUAAUUUGCAGUUCAUAUUCCAUCCUCAUCAAUCCAAUCCCUGAUCCUCGGUUUGUUCCACUGCACGACACUCACCCCCGCCAACAGCCCCCUCUGGAUGCUGAAAACCAUGAACAGUUGAGGCUCACACUCACAUUCUUGCGCACAGCAAAAAAGUGAGGAGGCGCCUCCGCUCCCACCCUGAGCCAAUGGCGCACGGAGCAGCCUGAUCACACUUAUCCCCUCCUGACCAAUGGCGCGUCUCUGCCGCACUCACAUGACGUCUUCCUGAGCGCUCCCCCUGCACUCAGCGCACAAUCCCGGCGAACACAGGCAUCACUGAAGACCUGACACCGGCGGAAUCGGACGCCCACUGUCCCUCUGCAACAAACGAGCACUUUUUCCUCCCUCUCCCGUGAGAAACUCCGUCGCCCCUCAGACGCAGCUGACCAUCGCGGCACCGACAAUGACGCAGCUUCGGCGGAGCAGCAGACUUUCCACAACCCGGUUUCCGAGCGAGCGGAGAGGCGCAGGGGCGAGACAAUGACGGCCAGAAGUUAUUGAAAUAAAUCGCUUUGAGGUGAGCUGAUAGAAGCAGAAGAUACAGAACAGGUAGCAGCAGCGUUUAGCUGCGCUACAAAAGGGAAGAAUCAACGCUGCAACAGACAACAGCAACAACGAGAUUAAAGUCCAGGUCCAGACAUGAAGGAGGACUUCACACACACACACACACACACACACAUAUCUUCAUGGCACCUAGAGUCUGUCUGCGGUCUACCACCAGCCUGCCACACACACACACACGCACACACUGCCGUUACGGUAAGAAUCAGAGACAGAGUCAGGAUUGAGGAAGACAAUAAUGGUGUGACUGUGAGGAAAACAAACUAUUAUCCACCACUGUUUACUUCUCCGGCUAUUUUAACAACUAAUUCACUGCUUAUUCCACAAAACAAAUACCAAACACCGACUGCAGUCAGUCAGCCAAAAGCACCAGACGCACUUUUUUAUAUUUAAAGCUCCUGCCUUUGUCCAAAGACGCCGACCUUGAACACUGGACAAGGGGCUGCAUUUAUUGUAAAUGUACAUGCAGUGAGGGAGUAACACGGUACGUGUGGUGUCACACACGCUAUAUAUAGUCAGGCCCUGCGUGUGUGUGCAUGUAGAAAAAUCUGCCUCAUUUUAUUUCCCGUCUCCAUCAGUCAAAGCCAAUCUUCACAACUCGCCUUCGACAGCUGCACCGCAGCUCCCACAAACCCCAUCCACCGACCCCCUCCACCCACUCACUGCCCCUCCCAGGUUUUCCCAGCACCCUCAGUCACCCUCGUUUCCAAAAGGGAAAAAAAAAAAAAAAAAAAAACCUAACCUAAUGCAUGCUAGAAUUACAGCCUGUGAGGUGGCAUUGUGGGAAACCCCUCCCUCCCUUUCAAGUGCUCUAUAUGCCCUUAUUUCUGCGUCUUAUCUUUUUCACAUUCCUCCACUGAGGAGGGAUUUAUUUUUGAUCUCUCUUUACACAGGACCACAGCUGAAAAUGUUCAUUUGCUCAACUGCUGGUGGUAGCCGUGCUCCACAUGGACGCCUGCGAACUGAACUCUACUCUGAGAGUUCACGUGUGAAACUCCUGUCCUGAAUGACCGAGGGCAAGAGUCAGCCGACGGUACCAUCACCUUUAAAUGGCUGAUGUCUGAAGGCGAACCUUUCCAACUUCAUAUUUUUCUUUGUUUUAAACAAAAGAGAGUAGCUGUGAAGAGCAGUGACUGUCAGAGAGUGGAGGCAGGAUUUUCCAAGAUACAGUGUGGUGCAUAAACAAAUGAGAAAAAAAACAAAAAAAA